UCCCACGGCCAGCCGCCGGCGCUGCUCCUACUCUGCCCGGCCUAUCCCUUGGCCAACCGCCGUCACGCUGGUCGCUCCCUCACCAGGUCAGCCACUGCCACACCCGAUGCUCUCUCGGCCAGCCACCGCGACCGAUGCUCCUCGGCCUGCCGCCGUCGCCGCAAACGACGCUCCUCUGCAUGCUGCCGCCACCACGACCGAUGAUCUCCCGUGAAUUAAUUCUCUUCCCGCUACCGCUCUGUAUCCACCACUAGCCUUCCGCCUCCACGACGUCUGCCAUCCCAGCCACGAAUGCACAUGAAACGGCCUGCCGCACCACAUAAUUCAUUCACACAAAAUGCGGAAUGCGGAAUAAAAUGGGUUUAAAUACCCUAUGUGGUACCGUCGUCAUCUUGCCGCACUUGCCGCACCAUAUCCACCACUAGCCUUCCGCCUCCACGACGUCUGUCAUCCCUAUUCAUUACCUCACUUUCCGUUACCCUGCAAAUGCGGAAUAAAAUGGGUUUAAAUACCCUAUGUGGUACCAUCGUCAUCCAUCACACACGCCUUCUCGCGUCCCAUCUGGGAAGAGGCCUCCGGCCCGGCCUAUCCCUUGGCCAACCGCCGUCACGCUGGUCGCUCCCUCACCAGGUCAGCCACUGCCACACCCGAUGCUCUCUCGGCCAGCCACCGCGACCGAUGCUCCUCGGCCUGCCGCCGUCGCCGCAAACGACGCUCCUCUGCAUGCUGCCGCCACCACGACCGAUGAUCUCUCGUGAAUUAAUUCUCUUCCCGCUACCGCUCUGUAUCCAUCACUAGCCUUCCGCCUCCACGACGUCUGCCAUCCCAGCCAUGAAUGCACAUGAAACGGCCUGCCGCACCACAUAAUUCAUUCACACAAAAUGCGGAAUGCGGAAUAAAAUGGGUUUAAAAUGGGUUUAAAUACCCUAUGUGGUACCGUCGUCAUCUUGCCGCACUUGCCGCACCAUAUCCACCACUAGCCUUCCGCCUCCACGACGUCUGCCAUCCCUAUUCAUUACCUCACUUUCCGUUACCCUGCAAAUGCGGAAUAAAAUGGGUUUAAAUACCCUAUGUGGUACCAUCGUCAUCCAUCACACACGCCUUCUCGCGUUCCAUCUGGGAAGAGGCCUCCGGCCAGGUUGCGCUUCAGGACAAACGUGCUCGACUCCACGUUAUGCUUCAACCAUCUCUUACUGCUGGGAAUUGUUUCAUUACUUCACAUGCCCCUUUGCAUUUUUUUUCCUGAUUUGUGCUUUACUCUCACUUUGUCAUGUGCAACAAUGGUAAAAUGCUAAUAUGAAAAAUCAGGCUUUCAAAUUCCAUGGUACUUGCUAUAGUUAUUUUAGUUACAGAUCGAUUGCUCAUCCAAAUAAACUCUGUUGAUUAUGGAAAAUUAGGCUUUCAAAUUUAAUGGUACUUGCUAUAGUUCUUCUACAUACAGAUCGAUUGUUCAUCCAAAUAAACUCUCUUGGUUCCUCAUAUUAUUAUACCCGAAACACUCCCUCUAGGUACUAGAUGAACUGAUCGAAAAGAGGCAAGGGGUAAGGUUAUUGAUUCAUUUUUUGGACAGUUCAAUUAGUUAAAUGAUGUGUGGGCAUGAGUAUAUUUGUUACCAAUGCAACAUAUAUCUUUGGAAAAAUUAAGAUAGACCAUGGUGUUCAUGUCGAUUCUAUCAGCAUUUGUGUCAUCCUCCUUCUGCACUAUCCCAGAUUGCACUCCCGGAUCGCACGUGACGGACAUUUUGCUUCAUAGAUCUCUUGCUUCUUGCAUCGAUAAAAAAUGGAGUCUAAUGCUGGAUCAUCCUCUUCCCCAAGUGAAACGUUCAGUGAAAUAUAUAAUCGUAUGGAAUGUCGCUAUAUUACACCAAACGAGGCUGUUUGGCGCUUGCCUGAGUAUCACAUUCACCCUACAUACCUGUCCACAAAAAGACUCCCUGUUAUACUUAAUGGAAUGAAGAUUGAUUCAGUAUCCCGGUUCCCCAUAGGUCAUGUCAAAAAGAAAAGCUUCUCAAUCAACAACGCACACGUGCUUCGCUCUACAAAGCCAUCUCCAAUCAAAGAAUUGACGACCCAUCCAUCUUGAACAAUAAAUAUUGAGAGUAUGAUGAUCCAAACACCAGAGGACUCAAACAAUACUACACCUCCUUCUUGCCCAGGCACUCUUUAGCUAAAAGGAUCGCUGAAUUUACAGAAGAUGAAACCACCAACAAAGAGAGUCAAAAGGAGGUUGAUCUUGAGGCUGCAAAACUUCAUCUUCAAGUUGUCAAAAGGCAUAAGCAAUACAUUGCAGGAAACAACAUGACAAUGAAUAGCUAAGAAGGCCAAGAGGAUAACACCGAUAAAAAAACAUAGGAUAUCGUCAAGCACUCACUCAAGCAGCAACAAACUACACUGCCUUCUAUUUGAAUUACUUACAUUGAGGCUUUAAUUGUAAUCUCUCUCAUUAGUAGUACUUUUGGGUGAUUCGAUGCAUGUACUGAGUUAUGGA